UACGGGAGGCAGCAGUGGGGAAUAUUGCACAAUGGGCGCAAGCCUGAUGCAGCCAUGCCGCGUGUAUGAAGAAGGCCUUCGGGUUGUAAAGUACUUUCAGUCGUGAGGAAGGUGUUAAGGUUAAUAACCUUAGCAAUUGACGUUAGCGACAGAAGAAGCACCGGCUAACUCCGUGCCAGCAGCCGCGGUAAUACGGAGGGUGCGAGCGUUAAUCGGAAUUACUGGGCGUAAAGGGCACGCAGGCGGUUAAUUAAGUUGGAUGUGAAAUCCCCGGGCUUAACCUGGGAAUGGCAUUCAAGACUGGUUAGCUAGAGUCUUGUAGAGGGGGUUAGAAUUCCAUGUGUAGCGGUGAAAUGCGUAGAGAUGUGGAGGAAUACCGGUGGCGAAGGCGGCCCCUGGGACAAAGCGUGACGCUCAUGUGCGAAAGCGUGGGGAGCAAACAGGGAUUAGAUACCC
rnacentral:rRNA from 1 species